ACCUCCCUCGAAGGCUUCCAA
rnacentral:miRNA from 1 species